CCUACGGGAGACAGCAGUGGGGAAUAUUGGGCAAUGGGCGCAAGCCUGACCCAGCAACGCCGCGUGAAGGAAGAAGGCUUUCUGGUUGUAAACUUCUUUUCUUAGGGACGAAGACCGUGACGGUCCCUCAGUAAUAAGCCACGGCUAACUACGUGCCAGCAGCCGCGGUAAUACGUAGGUGGCAAGCGUUAUCCGGAUUUAUUGGGUGUAAAGGGCGGGUAGGCGGGAAAGCAAGUCAGAUGUGAAAACUCAGGGCUCAACCCUGAGCCUGCCUUUGAAACUGUUUUGCUGGAGUGCGGGGGAGGUAAUCGGAAUUCCGGGUGUAGCGGUGAAAUGCGUAGAUAUACGGAGGAACACCAGUGGCGAAGGCGGAUUGCUGGACAGUAACUGACGCUGAGGCGCGAAAGCGUGGGGAGCAAACAGGAUUAGAUACCCGGGUAGUC
rnacentral:rRNA from 1 species